rnacentral:rRNA from 1 species
UGGUUCGUAAGAGUUGUCGCCUUAGAGAUGAGCUCGCGUCCCUAUCAGCUAGUUGUGAGGGUAACGGCCCACCAAGGCAAUUGACGGGUAGCUGGCCUGAGAGGCGGUCAGCCACACGGGGACUGAGACACUGCCCCGACUCCUACGGGAGGCUGCAGUCGAGGAUCUUUAGCAAUGGGCGAAAGCCCGACUAUGCGACGCCGCGUGAGGGAUGAAGGUUUUCGGAUCGUAAACCUCUUUCAAUAGGGAAGAAAACUCUGCUUAACAAGCAGAACUGACGGUACCUAUAGAAGAAGCCACGGCCAACUCCGUGCCAGCAGCCGCGGUAAUACGGGGGUGGCGAGCGUUACUCGGAUUUAUUGGGUGUAAAGGGCAAGUAGGCGUCCCGAAAAGUUAGGAGUGAAAUCCUUUGGCUCAACCAAAGAACUGCUCCUAAAACUGGCGGGAUUGAGGCUGGAAGAGGAGAGCGGAAUUCCCGGUGUAAGGGUGAAAUCUGUAGAUAUCGGGAGGAACACCAGUGGCGAAAGCGGCUCCCUGGUCUAGAUCUGACGCUGAAUUGCGAAAGCUAGGGUAGCAAACAGGAUUAGAUACCCUGGUAGUCCUAGCCGUAAACGAUGAGCACUAGGUGUUGAGAGUUUACUUUCAGCGC